rnacentral:RNase_P_RNA from 1 species
GUUAAUUAUACGGUCGCGGGCCGCGCAAGCGGCGUGAGGAAAGUCCGAGCAUCGCAGGGCAGGAUGCCUGCUAACGGCAGGAGGAGGCGACUCCAAGGAAAGUGAACAGAAAUACACCGCAGCAUUUUGCUGUAAGGUUGGAAUGGCGAGGUAAGAGCUCACCGUCGCCCUGGUAACAGAGCGAGCCAAUUAAACCCCAUCCGAUGCAAGAUUGGGAUAAGGACUGCAUUUGAUUGCGCGGGUUGCCCGUCCGCCCUUAUCCGUUAAUAUCGCUUUAACUUAUCGGUGACGACAAGUAUAGAUAGAUGACCGUACACGACAGAACUCGGCUUACAGAUUAA